UGCGCAGGCGGCCAAGUGUGUGAGGCGUGAAAGCCCGGGGCUUAACUCCGGAAUUGCACCUCAAACUACUUGGCUAGAGCAUUGGAGAGGGUAGCAGAAUUCACGGUGUAGCAGUGAAAUGCGUAGAUAUCGUGAGGAAUACCAGAGGCGAAGGCGGCUACCUGGACAAUUGCUGACGCUCAGGCACGAAAGCGUGGGGAGCAAAAGGGAUUAGAUACCCCUGUAGUCCACGCCCUAAACGGUGCACACUAGGUCUUGGCGGAUUCGACCCCACCAGGGCCCAAGCUAACGCGUUAAGUGUGCCGCCUGAGGACUACGGUCGCAAGACUAAA
rnacentral:rRNA from 1 species